rnacentral:rRNA from 2 species
GGGCGAGAGUAGUACUAGGAUGGGUGACCUCCUGGGAAGUCCUCGUGUUGCACCCC